CUAAGCAUAUCAAUAAGCGGAGGAAAAGAAACCAACAGGGAUUGCCCCAGUAACGGCGAGUGAAGCGGCAAUAGCUCAAAUUUGAAAUCUGGCCCUUUUAGGGUCCGAGUUGUAAUUUGCAGAGGGCGCUUUGGAGUUGGCUGCAGCCUAAGUUCCUUGGAACAGGUCAUCAUAGAGGGUGAGAAUCCCGUAUGUGGUUGCAUGCCUCCGCCGUGUAAAGCCCCUUCGAUGAGUCGAGUUGUUUGGGAAUGCAGCUCUAAAUGGGAGGUAAAUUUCUUCUAAAGCUAAAUAUUGGCCAGAGACCGAUAGCGCACAAGUAGAGUGAUCGAAAGAUGAAAAGCACUUUGGAAAGAGAGUCAAAAAGCACGUGAAAUUGUUGAAAGGGAAGCGCUUGCAGCCAGACUUGCCCGCAGUUGCUCAUCCGGGGUUCUCCCCGGUGCACUCUUCUGUGGGCAGGCCAGCAUCAGUUCGGGCGGUUGGAGAAAGACCUGUGUCAUGUAGCUGUUCUCGGGCAGUGUUAUAGGGCAGGUGGAAUGCAACCAGCUCGAACUGAGGUCCGCGCAUCUGCUAGGAUGCUGGCGUAAUGGCUGUAAGCGGCCCGUCUUGAAACACGGACCAAGGAGUCUAACAUCUAUGCGAGUGUUUGGGUGUCAAGCCCGAGCGCGUAAUGAAAGUGAACGGAGGUGGGAACCCCUCGGGGUGCACCAUCGACCGAUCCUGAUGUCUUCGGAUGGAUUUGAGUAAGAGCAUAGCUGUUGGGACCCGAAAGAUGGUGAACUAUGCCUGAAUAGGGUGAAGCCAGAGGAAACUCUGGUGGAGGCUCGCAGCGGUUCUGACGUGCAAAAUCGAUCGUCAAAUUUGGGCAUAGGGGCGAAAGACUAAUCGAACUAUCUAGUAGCUGGUUCCUGCCGAAGUUUCCCCUCAGGA
rnacentral:rRNA from 1 species